GGUCCUGUAGCUCAGCCUGGUUAGAGCACUACUCUGAUAAGGUAGGGGUCCACAGUUCGAAUCUGUGCAGGACCA
rnacentral:tRNA from 1 species